AACGAACGCUGGCGGCAUGCCUAACACAUGCAAGUCGAACGAGAUCUUCGGGUCUAGUGGCGCACGGGUGCGUAACGCGUGGGAAUCUGCCCUUUGGUUCGGAAUAACAGUUGGAAACGACUGCUAAUACCGGAUGAUGACGAAAGUCCAAAGAUUUAUCGCCAGAGGAUGAGCCCGCGUAGGAUUAGCUAGUUGGUGCGGUAAAGGCGCACCAAGGCGACGAUCCUUAUCUGGUCUGAGAGGAUGAUCAGCCACACUGGGACUGAGACACGGCCCAGACUCAGACGGGAGACAGCAGUGGGGAAUAUUGGACAAGGGGCGAAGGCCUGAUCCAGCAAUGCCGCGUGAGGGAUGAAGGCCUUAGGGUUGUAAAGCUCUUUUCCCCGGGAUGAUAAUGACAGUACGGGGAGAAUAAGCUCCGGCUAACCCCGUGCCAGCCGCCGCGGUAA
rnacentral:rRNA from 1 species